rnacentral:misc_RNA from 1 species
AAUUCUCAACCUUUCAAGCGUUUUUGCUAGUUAGGCUUGGACUUUGGAAGCUUGCUGGUUCUAGCAACUCAGCUCUUCUUAAAUGCAUUAGCAAGAUUAAUCACUUGAAUCAUCUUUGAUAUGAUAAUUAUCUAUAUCAUUAAUGAGCCAGUGUUUUUCUUUUUCAAAGAAAAGAUCUUGCUUCUAAUUCAUCAAUCUUUAUUGAUAAUUUGAAUC